UACGUAGGCAGCAAGCGUUGUUCGGAGUUACUGGGCGUAAAGGGUGUGUAGGCGGUUCCUUAAGUUUGCUGUGAAAUCUCCCGGCUUAACCGGGAGGGUGCGGUGAAUACUGAGGGACUAGAGUACGGGAGAGGAAAGUGGAAUUCCUGGUGUAGCGGUGAAAUGCGUAGAUAUCAGGAGGAACACCGGUGGUGUAGACGGCUUCUGGACCGUAACUGACGCUGAGACACGAAAGCGUGGGUAGCAAACAGG
rnacentral:rRNA from 1 species